AGAUCAGCCCUGGGGUUCAGAGGGAUCCUGACAGCUACUCCUCAAGAUCCUCUCUGUUGUGAUUCAUCCCCCCGGGGCCCUACAGUUUCUCCUUCCUGACUCUUACAUUUCUUUGGAUGGCAUCAUUAUUAUGAGGAAAUUGAGGCUCAGAAAAUACCUGUCUCCUCCCAUAGUUAGGUGCCAAGCACUGUGGAUUCUGCCUCUCAGUGUCCAGACACCCAUUUUCCUUCCCACUGUUCCUUCCCCAUGGAGAAGCCUGUGGCUGGCUGACAGCAGAGAGAGAUGCUCAACUUGGAGAAGGUGUUACCUGGGCCAGGUGGGGAAGGUUUGUUUGCAGAGCAAAGAAGUGAAGGAAGUAUUAACCCUUUGCAUGGCCUCCUGAGAAUCCGACAAGACGUAAAUAGCCAAGAAUAUCUGUGAAACUUCAUCACUGAGUUACAAUAUUUAUCACUGCAAGUGUGUUGUUCAUUGACACUAUAAAGCCAUGUGGAAUUAAGCAGCCUUGAAACACAAAAUGGAGAAAGGCUAAGAGCUGAGAAUUGUUGCCUUCAGGGAAAUACAAUCAAUGUCAAGCAAACAACCACCCCAAAAUGGUUAGCUUUAUCAGCAUUCAGGCCUACAGUGAACGCAAAUGUUCCAGAUCUGAGUUUCAAUUUUUAAAGAAUAAA
ensembl:lncRNA MYO3B-AS1 MYO3B antisense RNA 1